GCGACCCCAGGAUGGGCGAGGUCACCCGCUGAGUUUAAGCAUAU
rnacentral:rRNA from 1 species